rnacentral:rRNA from 1 species
GAUGAACGCUGGCUACAGGCUUAACACAUGCAAGUCGAGGGGAAACGACGGGGAAGCUUGCUUCCUCGGGCGUCGACCGGCGCACGGGUGAGUAACGCGUAUCCAACCUGCCUCUGACUGAGGGAUAACCCGUCGAAAGUCGGCCUAAUACCUCAUGGCAUCGUCUGCGGGCAUCCAACGACGAUUAAAGAUUUCAUCGGUCAGGGAUGGGGAUGCGUCUGAUUAGCUUGUUGGCGGGGUAACGGCCCACCAAGGCAACGAUCAGUAGGGGUUCUGAGAGGAAGGUCCCCCACAUUGGAACUGAGACACGGUCCAAACUCCUACGGGAGGCAGCAGUGAGGAAUAUUGGUCAAUGGGCGGGAGCCUGAACCAGCCAAGUAGCGUGCAGGAAGACGGCCCUAUGGGUUGUAAACUGCUUUUAUGCGGGGAUAAAGUGAGGGACGUGUCCAUCAUCGCAGGUACCGCAUGAAUAAGGACCGGCUAAUUCCGUGCCAGCAGCCGCGGUAAUACGGAAGGUCCGGGCGUUAUCCGGAUUUAUUGGGUUUAAAGGGAGCGUAGGCCGUAGAUUAAGCGUGUUGUGAAAUGCAGGUGCUCAACGUCUGCACUGCAGCGCGAACUGGUCCACUUGAGUGUGCACAACGCAGGCGGAAUUCGUCGUGUAGCGGUGAAAUGCUUAGAUAUGACGAAGAACUCCGAUUGCGAAGGCAGCUUGCGGGAGCACAACUGACGCUGAAGCUCGAAAGUGCGGGUAUCGAACAGGG